rnacentral:rRNA from 1 species
UUCCGGUUGAUCCUGCCGGAGGCUACCGCUAUUGGAGUUCGAUUAAGCCAUGCGAGUCGCGAGAAAUUAGAUUCUCGGCGUACCGCUCAGUAACACGUGGGUAACCUGCCCUAUGCUGGAUAAUAACCUCGGGAAACUGAGAAUAAUGAUCCAUAGUUCACUACGCCUGGAACGGUGAGUGGAUGAAAGCCCCGGCGGCAUAGGAUGGGCCUGCGGCGUAUCAGGUUGUAGGGGGUGUAACGUACCCUCUAGCCCUCUACGCGUACGGGUGUUGGGAGACAUAGCCCGGAGAUGGAUUCUGAGACACGAAUCCAGACCCUACGGGGUGCAGCAGGCGCGAAAACUUGGCAAUGCGAGAAAUCGUGACCAGGGAACUCCAAGUGCAUCGGGUAAGACCGGUGCUUUUCUUGACUCUAAAUAGGUCUUGGAAUAAGGGGUGGGCAAGGACGGUGCCAGCCGCCGCGGUAAUACCGGCGCCUCAAGUGGUAGUCGCUUUUAUUGGGCCUAAAACGUCCGUAGCCGGUCUGAUACAUUCGUGGGUAAAUCAACCAGCUCAACUGGUUGAAUUCUGCGAGGACGGUCAGACUUGGGACCGGGAGAGGUGUGGGGUACGCUCAGGGUAGGGGUAAAAUCCUGUCAUCCUGAGCGGACCACCUGUUGCGAAGGCGCCACACUAGAACGGAUCCGACGGUCAGGGACGAAGCCUAGGGGCACGAACCGGAUUAGAUACCCGGGUAGUCCUAGGUGUAAACGCUGUGGACUUGAUGUUGGGGGUGCUCCGAGCACUCUCAGUGUCGAAGCGAAGGUGAUAAGUCCACUGCCUGGGAAGUACGGUCGCAAGGCUGAAACUUAAAGGAAUUGGCGGGGGAGCACCGCAACCUGAGGAUUGUGCGGUUUAAUUGGAUCAACGCCGGA